UCGGAGAGUAAAGUACGCUACGUGUAGUGUAUGCAAAGUAUCCGAAGAAAAAGCAUCGGCUAACUCCGUGCCAGCAGCCGCGGUAAUACGGAGGAUGCAAGCGUUAUCCGGAUUUAUUGGGUUUAAAGGGUGCGUAGGCGGCACGCCAAGUCAGCGGUGAAAUUUCCGGGCUCAACCCGGAGUGUGCCGUUGAAACUGGCGAGCUAGAGUACACAAGAGGCAGGCGGAAUGCGUGGUGUGGCGGUGAAAUGCAUAGAUAUCACGCAGAACCCCGAUUGCGAAGGCAGCCUGCUAGGGUGAAACAGACGCUGAGGCACGAAAGCGUGGGUAUCGAACAGGAUUAGAUACCCUGGUAGUCCACGCAGUAAACGAUGAAUACCAACUGUUUGCGAUACAAUGUAAGCGGUACAGCGAAAGCGUUAAGUAUUCCACCUGGGGAGUAAGCCGGCAACGGUGCAACUCAAAUGAAUUGACGGAAU
rnacentral:rRNA from 1 species